GACUCAGGUGUGACUGAAACAUAUCUCAGGUGUGUCUGAAACAUGUUUCAGGUGUGUCUGAAACAUCUCAGGUGUGUCUGAAACAUAUCUCAGGUGUGACUGAAACAUGUCUCAGGUGUGACUGAAACAUAUCUCAGGUGUGUCUGAAACAUGUCAGGUGUGUCUGAAACAUCUCAGGUGUGACUGAAACAUAUCUCAGGUGUGACUGAAACAUAUCUCAGGUGUGACUGAAACAUAUCUCAGGUGUGACUGAAACAUAUCUCAGGUGUGUCUGAAACAUGUCUCAGGUGUGACUGAAACAUGUCUCAGGUGUGACUGAAACAUGUCUCAGGUGUGACUGAAACAUGUCUCAGGUGUGACUGAAACAUGUCUCAGGUGCAUCUGAAACAUAUCUCAGGUGUGUUUGAAACAUAUCUCAGGUGUGACUGAAACAUAUCUCAGGUGUGUUUGAAACAUAUCUCAGGUGUGACUGAAACAUGACUCAGGUGUGUCUGAAACAUCUCAGGUGUGACUGAAACAUGUCUCAGGUGUGUCUGAAACAUCUCAGGUGUGUCUGAAACAGGUGACGUUAACCUGAUGCUCCGCCCACA